rnacentral:rRNA from 1 species
UACGUAGGGCGCAAGCGUUGUCCGGAUUCAUUGGGCGUAAAGAGCGUGUAGGCGGCCAGGUAGGUCGGUUGUGAAAACUGGAGGCUCAACCUUCAGAGGUCGACCGAAACCAUCUGGCUAGAGUCCGGGAGAGGAGAGUGGAAUUCCCGGUGUAGCGGUGAAAUGCGCAGAUAUCAGGAAGAACGCCCGUGGCGAAAGCGGCUCUCUGGAACGGUACUGACGCUGAGGCGCGAAAGCGUGGGGAGCAAACAGG